GACGAACCGUGCGAAUGUUGUUCGGAAUCACUGGGCUUAAAGGGCGCGUAGGCGGGCUGUCAAGUCUGGGGUGAAAUCCCACGGCUCACCCGUGGAACUGCUGGGCAUACUGGCGAUCUUGGGCCAACUAGGGGCAACUGGAACAAGCGGUGGAGCGGUGAAAUGCGUAGAUAUCGCUUGGAACGCCAAAGGUGAAAACAGGUUGCUGGGGUUGUGCCGACGCUGAGACACGAAAGCCAGGGGAGCAAACGGG
rnacentral:rRNA from 1 species